ensembl:lncRNA
UACAAUGUGCCAUGCUUGUGUACAGUAGCACUGCCACAUAAUGUCCAUGUUUUAAAUACCUGUGUGUUUAAUUAUUUAUACGCCGUUAGAGCCGGGAUCUUAUUUGUAACCAGUGCCUCUACGAGGUGAGUUUUUACACUUUAGUGUGUUUCUAUUUCUUUAGAUUACCCUGUCUAUUUUUUUGUGACUCUAUUAAGUGGCAUGUUUCUGGAAGAGGAGCUUGUUCAGCCUGUCUGCUGAGGUCUUUAAAACCGAGCUUAAGAAAGCCAUCACACACCUUACUCUCACUGAAAAAGAGACAACAGAUAUAAAUAGACAGCACCAGCAGUGGUUAAUGCCUGUCGCCCUAGACACACACAUUUGCAUAUCUUUUAUGUUCUUUCCUCUCUAAAUCCUUUUUUUUCUUUUCUUCAGGUUCUCUUACUCUUUCUCGUGCAAAGGGUCUCCUCCUGAGGCUCGAAGGGUUUUCUUUUUUCUUUCCCUUCAGAAGGCAGGCCUGUUCAGAAAGGAGCAUUGAAAAGCAGCAGCAGACAGUCGAGUAAUUAAAGAUUUGGGAAGUGUGUUGGAUUUUUAGGAUGUAUGGAGGACACAGAGGUUUCAGGUUUACCAGUCCAAAUGGGGAAAACAAGAUAAAGUAAAGGUGAGUCAGUUUUUUUUUUCUGAAGAACAUCUCUUUCCCUGACUGUGUGGCUUAGUGUCUAGAAGUCUGUUGUUUUCAAUGUGAGCUGGUGAACUGCAGCAUCAGGAAGUGGAGCAACCAUUACGAAUGCAAAGUGGUCAAGGUUAGUGUUCAACUUCAUGCAAAUUAGUCGCAGUGGUAGCUCAGUGGUUAAGACGUUGGACUAGUAAUUAGAAGGUCAUGCCAAGCUGCCACUGUUGGGACUUUUAGCAAGGCCCUUAACCCUAAAGCUGUAUAAAUGCUCAGAUGUAUAAAUGUACAUAAAUGUAAAUCACUCUGGAUAAUGGUGUCUGCCAUGAAUGCAAAUGUAAAUGUAGAAGGGAUGGUGGUUCACUCAUCCUUGACUCUGAAAUUAUCUGUGUUCCACAUACACCGAUCAGCCAUAACAUUAAAACCACUGACAGGUGACAUGAAUAACAUUGAUUAUCUCAUGACAACUGUCAUGAGAUAGCAACUGUCAAGGUGGCGACAGGCGGCUGAUUGAUUGAAGGCAAGCCUGUCUGGUGCAAAGUCCAUAGAAGACCUACUGUAGUACAAAUUGCCAAAAAAGUUAAUACUGUUUAAUGAUUUCUUGUACAUCAUGUGAACUUCUGGGUGUGUGUGCAUUGCUUACCUGGGGAAGUAAUGGCACCAGGAAGGCAAGCCACAGAGGCAGUGGGAUGCUCUGGGGAAUGUUCAUUCAUGUUGGUCCUGGCAUUCAUGUGGAUGUCACGUUGACACGUACCACCUACUUAAUAUUGUUUCAGACCAAAUACACCCUUCAUGGCAACAUUAUUCCCUAAUUACAGUGUCCUCUUGCAGCAGGGUAAUGCUCCCUGCCACACUGCAAAAAUUGUUCAGGAAUGGUUUGAGGAACAAAGAGUUCAAGGUGUUGACUUGGCCUCCAAAUUCCCCAGAUCUCAAUCUGAUCAAGCAUAUUUGGGAUAUACUGGACAAACAAGUCCAAUCCAUGGAGGCCCUACCUUGCAACCUACAGGACUUAAAGGAUCUGCUGCUAACGUCUUAGUGCCAGAUGCCACAGCACACCUUCAGAGGUCUUGUGGAGUUCAUGCCUCAACAGGGUCACGGGGAACCUGGAGCCUAUCCCAGGAAGCAUCGGGCACGAGGCGGGGUACAGGGUGCCAGUCCAUCACAGGGCACAAUCAAAUACACACUCAUUCAUACACUACGGACACUUUGGACAUGCGAAUCAGCAUACCAUGCAUGUCUUUGGACUUGGGGAGGAAACCAGAGUACCCGGAGGAAACCCCCGCAGCACGGGUAGAACAUGCAAACUUCGCAUACACAUGGCCCCAGCGGGACUCGAACCCCAGACCCUGGAGGUGUGAGGCAAACGUGCUAACCACUAUCAUGCUGUUACAGGCAAAUAAUCAUUUUCCAAAGUGUUUUAUGCUUCUUAUAUCACUGCGAUUUGCCAACUAUUAUAAUUUAAAAUGUAUUAAUGAAUGCCACAUCAUAUUUUUUUUUAACAGUUUAACAUUAGUUACAUUUAAUGUUGUGAAACAUCUGUGAGACAAGCUAGUUCCUGCUAAAAUUUAUGUUACAGAACGUGAAGUUAAUUAGAGAAAAAUUCAGCUUAUCAUGCUACCAAGAAACCAGAAAGUGGAAACUCCUCUGUCCUUUAUUGACUAUUACAAAACACUGACACUGGAGACUCCUUCCAUAAAUGUUAAAUAAGCACCUGCUUGCAGAAAUUUUAAACAUAUCAAUGAUUAUGCAUCUUUGUAUCAGACAACCUGAAGAAGGAAUUUCUGCUAAUUACUUCCCCUUAUUUUUGUAUUUCUACUAUGAAAUAGCCAUUUAAAUAAAGGCUUUUAAACAAUUUCAAACAGAAGUGUGCCUUGGAUUGCAUGUUUUGGAUUAUGUUUUUUUACCCCCACCAAAGAGCACCUUCAAAUAUACUCCACAGAACUUCUAAGCAUACCAGAUCUGUUUUUUGAAACGUGU